GAUGAACGCUGGCGGCGUGCCUAAUACAUGCAAGUCGAACGCUGGAGAUCUAGCUUGCUAGAUCGAAGGAGUGGCGAACGGGUGAGUAAUACAUAAGCAACCUACCCACGAAGACUGGGAUAAUCUCUGGAAACGGGGACUAAUACCGGAUAGGUAAUCGGAAGGCAUCUUCUGGUUAUUAAAGGUUAAAAACACUGGUGGAUGGGCUUAUGGCGCAUUAGUUAGUUGGUGAGGUAACGGCCCACCAAGACGAUGAUGCGUAGCCGGCCUGAGAGGGUGAACGGCCACAUUGGGACUGAGACACGGCCCACACUCCUACGGGAGGCAGCAGUAGGGAAUGUUAGGCAAUGGGGGCAACCCUGACCGAGCAACGCCGCGUGAGUGAAGACGGCCUUCGGGUUGUAAAGCUCUGUUGUAAGGGAAGAACGGUAGAUAGAGAAUAUCUAAGUGACGGUACCUUACCAGAAAGCCACGGCUAACUACGUG
rnacentral:rRNA from 1 species